GACGUAGGGCGCGAGCGUUGUCCGGAUUUAUUGGGCGUAAAGAGCUCGUAGGCGGUUUGUCGCGUCGUCCGUGAAAACCCGUGGCUCAACCGCGGGCUGGCGGUCGAUACGGGCAGGCUGGAGUUCGGUAGGGGAGACUGGAAUUCCUGGUGUAGCGGUGAAAUGCGCAGAUAUCAGGAGGAACACCGGUGGCGAAGGCGGGUCUCUGGGCCGAUACUGACGCUGAGGAGCGAAAGCGUGGGGAGCGAACAGG
rnacentral:rRNA from 1 species